rnacentral:misc_RNA from 1 species
GCAGCAUAAUUAACAAAGGCAGCAGGAUGAUUUUGGUCUUUAAGGAUCAAUUCCUGAAAACAUUUUGCUGAUAGCUCCAUAUUUCCGCUUUGAAGAUAUGCAAUCCCCAGGUUUCCAAGGCAAUCAUAGUUGUAGUUGCAAGGGUCAAUUGCCAACAAAGAUGACAAAACUGAAAUAGCACUCUGCAGACGACCAGAUUUAAGAAGUAUCAAGCCCAGUGUGUUCCAAACAGCUGCUUGUCUUAUAUCUGAUUGCAUCGACUCCUUUAAUCUAGAAAGGAUUUCAUCAAGCUCUUCAGCUUCAAGUUCUUUAUCCAAACUAUUAUCGGCAGAAUUUUCAAGGAG